rnacentral:siRNA from 1 species
UAAAGUUGCCCUGUGGCUGCCC